rnacentral:rRNA from 1 species
AACGAACGCUGGCGGCAUGCCUAACACAUGCAAGUCGAACGAGACCUUCGGGUCUAGUGGCGCACGGGUGCGUAACGCGUGGGAAUCUGCCCUUGGGUUCGGGAUAACAGUGAGAAAUUACUGCUAAUACCGGAUGAUGACUUCGGUCCAAAGAUUUAUCGCCCAAGGAUGAGCCCGCGUAGGAUUAGGUAGUUGGUGGGGUAAUGGCCUACCAAGCCGACGAUCCUUAGCUGGUCUGAGAGGAUGAUCAGCCACACUGGGACUGAGACACGGCCCAGACUCCUACGGGAGGCAGCAGUGGGGAAUAUUGGACAAUGGGCGAAAGCCUGAUCCAGCAAUGCCGCGUGAGUGAUGAAGGCCUUAGGGUUGUAAAGCUCUUUUACCAGGGAUGAUAAUGACAGUACCUGGAGAAUAAGCUCCGGCUAACUCCGUGCCAGCCGCCGCCGUAAUAC